UAAUACGAGCAGACUUUAACUCCAUUACCAGGAGACCUGAGACAUAGACUGCCCUGGACUGAAGAGAUAAUGUAGCUUGAACAGAGCAAGCAGAGUUCUCUGCAUUGUGCAUGGUCCAUGCAUUAAGGGCAGAAAUACAGGGCAGAGGAGCUCCUUCCUGAGAGUCAAAGUGCCCGCACAGUGCCACCAUGCUGCGGAUGUUGAUAGAGUGUCCAGGUUGAAGGAACAUAGACUGGGAGCUUCGCCUCUGGAUUGAAAAUCAACCCAGCAAAGCAGUGAGACAGAGCAAGAGCUGGCUUGGGUAUUUUAAAACAGGGUCUUGCUUCUCCCAGAUAACGUCACUUCAUGCAUUGAUCCCUGCCUGCAUCUCAGAGCUUUCACUUGAACAGCAGUACACUCUACAGACACAUCUGAGAGUAACCCUUCAAGCAAUAAGGAAAUUAGGACAUCAUGAUGUCCCUAGAUAUUUUACUUGAAGCCUAAUUAAAGGUUAAGAAGAAAAUUAAACACUUCUCCUGUAUAU
rnacentral:lncRNA from 1 species